CGGGGAUUGGGCCUCAGAGCAAACUGCCUUUGGCCAAAUUGCAUUAUGGGUAACGCGGGUGGCAGGUUGUGGCGAGGAGGAGUCCCCCCCCGUGGAAUGUUAAACCUUCUGCUCUCUCCGCUCCAUGAAUGUACCCGAGCCCCCCGCUGUGAGAUGGGUGGGUGGGACGCACCGGUUCAGUUCAGAGGAACAAAGCGCAGUGAGGUCAGUUACCCCGUUAUGAAGAUGGACUCCGACUCCCUCCGCUACAUUUGAAAUUAUACGUACGUCUGCAAGCCAGAUGGAAGGAGAACAAACGAUGGCACAGUGGUUUGGGGGAACACCCGAGCAGCUGACUGGCAGCGGUGGAUCUGGGAGAACGAGGGGGGCGGUGCCUGUGUCCAACGGGGGCGGAGCAACAUGGCACAGAACAAACAAUCAAUCAGAGGAUGUUUACAUCCAACGGCAGCUCUCGCCUCGGCGAGUAAAGCGAGGCGGACAACCAAGUAGCAGCACAUCAAAACAUCAUGAAUCCAUAAUGAAGAUAAUACGGGUACCCCCCCCCCCCCCCCUCAGCAGUCGUUUAGAAGUGCACUUAUUACUCAACAAUCACGGUCUUUGUUAUUAAAAGCCUCACACGUUCUGCACUCACAUGACUGCUUGUGGACAGGGGGACUCGGGCCCAAGAGACCCUCGUCCCACUCAGGCCCUCACGUUGUGAUACGUACGAACUCUGCAGCUCAUCAGGUGAUCGCGAGCGGACCUCCUCCCUCGCUUUUUAUGGUGGAUCAGCCAAAGUCAAAACAGCGGAAACCAAUAGGCCUGAAGAGGGCGCUAACGCGUUAGCACGUGAGGCCCCGAGUGGGUUCGGGCGCGUGGAAACCCAGGCGACGGGACGAACACUUGAGUGAAACAAACCGCUAAAUCAGGCGCUACAUACAUUUGUCCUUUAGAUAGAAUAAUGAACUUUUUAUAGUAAUCAAUUAAAUAUAUGUGUAUAAUUUGUUCAUAAGAAAAUAAAGAAAAACAUAGUAAGAGCACAUCCUGACUCGUGUGUUGGUCCCUUAAGGCUCACUAAGCUGAAAUGGAAGAAUGCUUCCUUUUUUUUUUUUUUUUUCCAGGGGGUUUUCUUUUGUUUUGCGUAAAUGUACAUUCUAAUAGAAAUAGUUUGCCACAAUAAAAAAAGUAAAUACAUGACCUGGGAAAUCUAUGGCUUUGUAAAUCUCCAUUUGCUAUAUUUUGAAAUGAAUGUACCUGUAUCCGACAAGGUCUCACGUGUGAGAAGAACAAAAUAAAGAGUUUACAUUUAUAGGGCAACAUCA
ensembl:lncRNA